GGUUGUUUCCCCGCAGGACAUUGGAUGUACAAAUGGGCACUUGUGGCAGGAGGCCAUCUGGACAACUACACCUUUUGGGAAAGGCCACCAGACUAUCACAGACCCAGGUCCGGAUAGCCUCCCCGGAAGGGGGAAGAUAUGUGACAAACUCCCCUCUCCAAGUGAGUUUGCCACGAUCAGGGGAUCCUACAGGGGGUGCAUACUACCCCAUUAUACUACGUUAUCGACAACAUAUCUAUCCUUAAGACUCUCAUUUGGCCAAUCUCAUGGGGUAAUUGUAAUACCUCAUUAUGUACAUUAUCUUUACCUCACAUUAAGCCCUUCGGUUCAGCUAUAUCUAUUUAGGCGAGUUUAUUAUAUCCUUCAUAGAUCUCAUAUUGAAACUGCUCACAUAUAGCAAGGUUGUGAGUAAAUGCUAUCUUGGUCUUGUUUCAGGUCCAAUGCCUUCACACACGACCAUUCUGGGCCUUCAUUUCAUUCCCAUCAUAUGGCCUUCUGUGGGAAGCCCAAUACGACCAAUUCAGCCCAUCAUUUGGGCUUUGCAUAAGUACCUUCCUGCUUCAUGGGGGUUAUAUGUAUACACCAUUCUUUCUUACAUUUCAUUACACCACUUAUACUUGCUAGGCCUAUACCAACCAGCCUAUACAGCCCAUAUUCUGCCUGCAAAACUCCAUUGUACGUUAAUCACUUAUUCUAUACAUUGUAUCCUCACUUCACAUACUGUCACUUUGUUCUUGCACAGUAUUUGCAAUGGUUUGUCUCAAGCCACCUACAUUGAGACACCAUAUAAUCUAUUGUGUUGGUUGUAUACUGCUCAUCCUUUGGCAUGGGCCUUAUAGUCAGCCUCCACUGCAUGCCACAUUACCAUCCUUCUAGCCUAACUACUCUUCCUACCUUUACAAAUGGACUGGACCAAACACGAGGGCUUCACUAUUGGCCAUUUCACAACACCUGCACCUUGGUAUGCUUAUCCUUCUUUUGUUCGUUCAAUUCAUCCGUACCCCUCAUACAGCCCUAUUUCUCCAUCCAGCAGCUCAGGACCAACAUUGAGCACUCUGCCUUCUGCUAAAAUACCUCUACACAUGGCCCUCACUCCAUAUGUUUACACAUGGCCCUAGACUGGCACUACGACACUUUCGGCCCAUCAUUUGGGCAAUUACAUACGUCAAUUUCCUGAUAUACGAGAGUCAAAGAAAUACAACCUUUCAUACUACAUUCCAAUAUUACACAUGGCCUCAUUAGGCCCACACAAGUCUUUUCCUCUCUCUUGGCACACUCCGGAAAACUUGGAACCACUAUGCAUUUAACAUAUCCAGGCCUCCUCGGUCUGUCACUAUUUUAACUGUUUAGUACUUCCACUUUGAGGCACUUGC